rnacentral:rRNA from 1 species
AGAGUUUGAUCCUGGCUCAGGAUGAACGCUGGCGGCGUGCCUAACACAUGCAAGUCGAGCGGUAUAUAUCUAAACAAAACUUCGGUCUAGUGAGGGUAUAGAGAGCGGCGGACGGGUGAGUAACGCGUAGGCAACCUGCCCCAUACACAGGGAUAGCCUCGGGAAACCGGGAUUAAAACCUGAUAAUGCGAGAAGUUCACAUGGACAACUCGCCAAAGAUUUAUCGGUAUGGGAUGGGCCUGCGUCUGAUUAGCUAGUUGGUGGGGUAACGGCCUACCAAGGCGACGAUCAGUAGCCGACCUGAGAGGGUAAUCGGCCACAUUGGAACUGAGACACGGUCCAAACUCCUACGGGAGGCAGCAGUGGGGAAUAUUGCACAAUGGGCGAAAGCCUGAUGCAGCAACGCCGCGUGAGCGAUGAAGGCCUUUGGGUCGUAAAGCUCUGUCCUUGGGGAAGAAAAAAAUGACGGUACCCUUGGAGGAAGCCCCGGCUAACUACGUGCCAGCAGCCGCGGUAAUACGUAGGGGGCAAGCGUUAUCCGGAAUUAUUGGGCGUAAAGAGUGCGUAGGUGGUUUUGUAAGCGCGGGGUGAGAGGCAAUAGCUCAACUAUUGUAAGCCUUGCGAACUGUAAGACUUGAGUGCAGGAGAGGAAAGCGGAAUUCCUAGUGUAGCGGUGAAAUGCGUAGAUAUUAGGAGGAACACCAGUGGCGAAGGCGGCUUUCUGGACUGUAACUGACACUGAGGCACGAAAGCGUGGGGAGCAACAGGAUUAGAUACCCUGGUAGUCCACGCCGUAAACGAUGAGCACUAGGUGUCGAGGCCGCAAGGCUUCGGUGCCGCAGUUAACGCAUUAAGUGCUCCGCCUGGGGAGUACGCACGCAAGUGUGAAACUCAAAUGAAUUGACGG